rnacentral:sRNA from 1 species
UUGCAUUUGAAGCCCAUGAGGAUGAGAACCUCCGGGGGCGGGGAGGUUCGACUCGAGCGAAGCGAGAGAACGUUGCGCCAGCAACG